CUGGUGUUCGGGUUGUCAUGCCAAUGGCACUGCCCGGUAGCUAAAUGCGGAAGAGAUAAGUGCUGAAAGCAUCUAAGCACGAAACUUGCCCCGAGAUGAGUUCUCCCUGACCCUUUAAGGUCCUGAAGGAACGUUGAAGACGACGACGUUGAUAGGCCGGGUGUGUAAGCGCAGCGAUGCGUUGAGCUAACCGGUACUAAUGAACCGUGAGGCUUAACCUU
rnacentral:rRNA from 1 species